rnacentral:rRNA from 1 species
AUUGAACGCUGGCGGCAUGCCUUACACAUGCAAGUCGAACGGCAGCACGGGAGCAAUCCUGGUGGCGAGUGGCGAGCGGGUGAGUAAAGUAUCGGAACGUGCCCAGUCGUGGGGGAUAACGUAGCGAAAGUUACGCUAAUACCGCAUACGAUCUAUGGAUGAAAGCGGGGGAUCGCAAGACCUCGCGCGAUUGGAGCAGCCGAUAUCAGAUUAGGUAGUUGGUGGGGUAAAGGCCCACCAAGCCGACGAUCUGUAGCUGGUCUGAGAGGACGACCAGCGGCACUGGGACUGGGACACGGCCCAGACUCCGACGGGAGGCAGCAGUGGGGAAUUUUGGACAAUGGGCGAAAGCCUGAUCCAGCCAUGCCGCGUGCAGGAUGAAGGCCUUCGGGUUGUAAACUGCUUUUGUACGGAACGAAAAGGACUGCCCUAAUACGGUGGUCCCAUGACGGUACCGUAAGAAUAAGCACCGGCUAACUACGUGCCAGCCGCCGCGGUAA